rnacentral:rRNA from 1 species
UACGAAGGGGGCUAGCGUUGCUCGGAAUCACUGGGCGUAAAGGGUGCGUAGGCGGAUCUUUAAGUCAGGGGUGAAAUCCUGGAGCUCAACUCCAGAACUGCCUUUGAUACUGAGGAUCUCGAGUUCGGGAGAGGCGAGUGGAACUGCGAGUGUAGAGGUGAAAUUCGUAGAUAUUCGCAAGAACACCAGUGGCGAAGGCGGCUCACUGGCCCGGUACUGACGCUGAGGUGCGAAAGCGUGGGGAGCAAACAGG